rnacentral:rRNA from 1 species
GUGGCGGACGGGUGAGUAACACGUGAGAAUUUACCUUUAGGAGGGGGAUAACAAUUGGAAACGAUUGCUAAUACCCCAUAUGCUUUUUUAAGUGAAACGGAUUUAUUCGCCUAAAGAAAAGCUCGCGGCUGAUUAGCUAGCUGGUAAGGUAAUGGCUUACCAAGGCGACGAUCAGUAUCUGGUUUGAGAGGAUGAUCAGACACACUGGAACUGAGACACGGUCCAGACUCCUACGGGAGGCAGCAGUGGGGAAUUUUCCGCAAUGGGCGAAAGCCUGACGGAGCAAUACCGCGUGAGGGAAGAAAGCCUACUGGGUUGUAAACCUCUUUUUUCAGGGAGGAAAAAAAUGACGUGUACCUGAAGAAUAAGCAUCGGCUAACUCCGUGCCAGCAGCCGCGGUAAGACGGAGGAUGCAAGUGUUAUCCGGAAUUACUGGGCGUAAAGCGUCUGUAGGUGGUUUAAUAAGUCAACUGUUAAAUCUUGAGGCUUAACUU